rnacentral:rRNA from 1 species
UACAGAGGGUGCGAGCGUUAAUCGGAAUUACUGGGCGUAAAGCGUGCGUAGACGGUAGCGUAAGUCGGAUGUGAAAGCCCCGGGCUCAACCUGGGAAUUGCAUUCGAGACUGCUCUGCUAGGGUGCGGAAGAGGGAAGCGGAAUUUCCGGUGUAGCGGUGAAAUGCGUAGAUAUCGGAAGGAACACCAGUGGCGAAGGCGGCCAUCUGGACCGCAACUGACGCUGAGGCGCGAAAGCGUGGGGAGCAAACAGG